UGCUAGCCGCCAGCCUUGUCAAAGUUAACUUUGCUAACGUUUUGCUGAGCCUACCCUAUUGACUACAUUUGUUGCACACUUAAAAAAAUAUCUUCAAAAGUAUUUAGAAGGUGGUUUCAUUUAUUUCCAUUCCAAUAACUUCACACAUUACAUUUCCGUUUGCACUUGUAGGCUAUGCUGCAUUAAUUUAUUUGUUCCUACUAUUUAGUUUAUUUUCUGGAACUUCUAUUUCUCAGAGCCGUGUACGGCUCUGCUAUUUCUUAUCCUGGACUGCCACCUGCUGGAUAGAAAAAGCAACAGGUCAUUAUGUGAACAAAAAUCUACACGUUUGAAUGGCCAAAAAAAAGAUAAAUCAUAGGUGGUAUUCCACACAUUACCAUGGUGUUAGGGUAGCCUACUCUGCACAUGUCAUUGACGGUGACAUGCUAACUUCAGUCAUUUGCAUUUAUCAUGCUGAAAAUCUGACACCAGGCACUAUACUGAUGCCUGACCCAAAGGGACAAUUAUAAUAAAAGAGAGGAGUUAUGUGCUGGCCCGGGACAAGGAGCCAGGUGCCUCCUCCUCGGACCCUCCACCUGUCGCUAAAGUGCUUGAGCGCUGAGGUCGACUCUCCCUGUACUGCACGUACAGGGACGCCCCACCAGCAGUGGUCCCCUCUUCCUGUCUCUCCUCCUCUCAGCAACCACUUCAACAUUGACUUCCCCUCCACAAGGACCGGGACCUUGCCGUGGUGUGGAGGUUUCAUACAAACACCGGUCCACCCACCCUGCAACAACUCUUCUACAGGACAGUGACACUACGUUUCUUUAAAAAAAAAAAAAAAACAUUCU